rnacentral:rRNA from 1 species
GACGAACGCUGGCGGCGUGCUUAACACAUGCAAGUCGAACGGUGAAGCGCCUUCCUUUUUGGUGGGUGUGGAUGAGUGGCGAACGGGUGAGUAACACGUGAGUAACCUGCCCCCUUCUUCUGGAUAACCGCAUGAAAGUGUGGCUAAUACGGGAUAUUCUGGGUCUGUCGCAUGAUGGGUCUGGGAAAGAUAUUGUUUCGGUGGGGGAUGGGCUCGCGGCCUAUCAGCUUGUUGGUGGGGUGAUGGCCUACCAAGGCGGUGACGGGUAGCCGGCCUGAGAGGGUGGACGGUCACACUGGGACUGAGACACGGCCCAGACUCCUACGGGAGGCAGCAGUGGGGAAUAGUGCACAGUGGGCGCAAGCCUGAUGCAGCGACGCCGCGUGAGGGAUGGAGGCCUUCGGGUUGUGAACCUCUUUCGCCAGUGAAGCAGGCCUGCCUCGUUUGUGGGUGGGUUGACGGUAGCUGGAUAAGAAGCGCCGGCUAACUACGUG